rnacentral:tRNA from 1 species
GAGGUUGUGGCUCAGCGGUAGAGCGCUCGCCUAGCAUGUGUGAGGCCCUGGGUUCAAUCCUUAGCACCACA